rnacentral:rRNA from 1 species
GUGGGGAAUUUUGGACAAUGGGCGCAAGCCUGAUCCAGCAAUGCCGCGUGUGUGAAGAAGGCCUUCGGGUUGUAAAGCUCUUUUACCCGGGAAGAUAAUGACUGUACCGGGAGAAUAAGCCCCGGCUAACUCCGUGCCAGCAGCCGCGGUAAUACGGAGGGGGCUAGCGUUGUUCGGAAUUACUGGGCGUAAAGCGCACGUAGGCGGUCUUUUAAGUCAGAGGUGAAAGCCCGGGGCUCAACUCCGGAAUUGCCUUUGAAACUGGAAGACUUGAACACGGGAGAGGUGAGUGGAAUUCCGAGUGUAGAGGUGAAAUUCGUAGAUAUUCGGAGGAACACCAGUGGCGAAGGCGGCUCACUGGACCGUUGUUGACGCUGAGGUGCGAAAGCGUGGGGAGCAAACAGGAUUAGAAACCCGUGUAGUCC